rnacentral:rRNA from 1 species
CACGUAGGGGGCGAGCGUUGUCCGGAAUCAUUGGGCGUAAAGAGCUCGUAGGCGGCUCGGUAAGUCGGGUGUGAAACCCCCAGGCUCAACCUGGGGACGCCACCCGAUACUGCUGUGGCUAGAGUCCAGUAGGGGAGUGUGGAAUUCCCGGUGUAGCGGUGAAAUGCGCAGAUAUCGGGAGGAACACCAGCGGCGAAGGCAGCUCGCUGGGACGGAACUGACGCUGAGGCGCGAAAGCGUGGGGAGCGAACAGG